rnacentral:rRNA from 1 species
CGUUCCAGGGUCUUGUACACACCGCCCGUCACACCAUGGGAGCGGGUUUUACCAGAAGUAGGUAGCUUAACCGCAAGGGGGGCGCUUACCACGGUAGGAUUCGUGACUGGGGUG